GCCUAACACGUGCAAGUCGAACGGUAACAGGAAGAGGCUUGCUUCUUUGCUGACGAGUGGCGGACGGGUGAGUAAUGUCUGGGAAACUGCCUGAUGGAGGGGGAUAACUACUGGAAACGGUAGCUAAUACCGCAUAACGUCGCAAGACCAAAGAGGGGGACCUUCGGGCCUCUUGCCAUCGGAUGUGCCCAGAUGGGAUUAGCUUGUUGGUGGGUAACGGCUCACCAAGGCGACGAUCCCUAGCUGGUCUGAGAGGAUGACCAGCCACACUGGAACUGAGACACGGUCCAGACUCCUACGGGAGGCAGCAGUGGGGAAUAUUGCACAAUGGGCGCAAGCCUGAUGCAGCCAUGCCGCGUGUAUGAAGAAGGCCUUCGGGUUGUAAAGUACUUUCAGCGGGGAGGAAGGGAGUAAAGUUAAUACCUUUGCUCAUUGACGUUACCCGCAGAAGAAGCACCGGCUAACUCCGUGCCACCAGCCGCGGUAAUACGGACGGUGCAAGCGCUAAUCGGAAUUACUGGGCGUAAGGCGCACGCAGGCGGUUUGAUAAAUCAGAUGUGAAAUCCCCGGGCUCAACCUGGGAACUGCAUCUGAUACUGGCAAGCUUGAGUCUCGUAGAGGGGGGUAGAAUUCCAGGUGUAGCGGUGAAAUGCGUAGAGAUCUGGAGGAAUACCGGUGGCGAAGGCGGCCCCCUGGACGAAGACUGACGCUCAGGUGCGAAAGCGUGGGGAGCAAACAGGAUUAGAUACCCUGGUAGUCCACGCCGUAAACGAUGUCGACUUGGAGGUUGUGCCCUUGAGGCGUGGCUUCCGGAGCUAACGCGUUAAGUCGACCGCCUGGGGAGUACGGCCGCAAGGUUAAAACUCAAAUGAAUUGACGGGGGCCCGCACAAGCGGUGGAGCAUGUGGUUUAAUUCGAUGCAACGCGAAGAACCUUACCUGGUCUUGACAUCCACGGAAGUUUUCAGAGAUGAGAAUGUGCCUUCGGGAACCGUGAGACAGGUGCUGCAUGGCUGUCGUCAGCUCGUGUUGUGAAAUGUUGGGUUAAGUCCCGCAACGAGCGCAACCCUUAUCCUUUGUUGCCAGCGGUCCGGCCGGGAACUCAAAGGAGACUGCCAGUGAUAAACUGGAGGAAGGUGGGGAUGACGUCAAGUCAUCAUGGCCCUUACGACCAGGGCUACACACGUGCUACAAUGGCGCAUACAAAGAGAAGCGACCUCGCGAGAGCAAGCGGACCUCAUAAAGUGCGUCGUAGUCCGGAUUGGAGUCUGCAACUCGACUCCAUGAAGUCGGAAUCGCUAGUAAUCGUGGAUCAGAAUGCCACGGUGAAUACGUUCCCGGGCCUUGUACACACCGCCCGUCACACCAUGGGAGUGGGUUGCAAAAGAAGUAGGUAGCUUAACCUUCGGGAGGGCGCUUACCACUUUGUGAUUCAUGACUGGGGUGAA
rnacentral:rRNA from 1 species